UUCAAAAGGAAUGGCUAUGCACCAACAACAGUUUAUCAUGAAUUCAAGAGACAUCCAAUGAUUAAGCUGAGCCCACUUUAUAAAUAAGAAGGCUAGCAUUUUUCGAGUAAAUAAAAAGACUAGCAUGGCCGUGAAGUUUGGACUGAUCAGGGAAUACUACUACAAGGCGCCACCGAAUUAGCCAUGCAAAAAGUUUCUCAUGCCAC
rnacentral:lncRNA from 1 species